UGGGGAAUAUUGCACAAUGGAGGGAACUCUGAUGCAGCGACGCCGCGUGAACUAAGAAGGCUUUCGAGUCGUAAAGUUCUUUUAUAUGGGAAGAUAAUGACGGUACCAUAAGAAAAAGCCCCGGCUAACUACGUGCCAGCAGCCGCGGUAAUACGUAGGGGGCUAGCGUUGUCCGGAAUCACUGGGCGUAAAGGGUUCGCAGGCGGAAAUGCAAGUCAGGUGUAAAAGGCAGUAGCUUAACUACUGUAAGCAUUUGAAACUGCAUAUCUUGAGAAGAGUAGAGGUAAGUGGAAUUUUUAGUGUAGCGGUGAAAUGCGUAGAUAUUAAAAAGAAUACCGGUGGCGAAGGCGACUUACUGGGCUCAUUCUGACGCUGAGGAACGAAAGCGUGGGUAGCAAACAGG
rnacentral:rRNA from 1 species